UGUGUUUAUUUAAUUGUAAUAAACAAUUUUUCUGAUUAAUAAAAUAAAUGAGGUAUUUUAUUCAAGUAUCUUGGUUGCAUUAAUAUUUUGAGUAAAGUCCAUUUAAUCAUAUUAUAUGUGUUUAUGUAAUCACCAUGUGGAACAUGAUUACAUAUGAGAUUUAGUACGACUACAUUGAACAUGAUUACAUAUGAGAUUUAAUUAACUUAGUAAUAACUAUCAAACUUAUUAAAUCUCAUAGGCAUUGAUUUUACUAUAAUCUUAAUCUUGAGUUAGUUAUGAUUUCAUUAUUGUAAUUGUUAUUCCAUUUGAGUUACCAAUGGGCACUGCACAUUCUUGUAGUCAAGAUUACCUGGUAUCUUUGUGGGAGCAAUUAUGAGUAUUGGAGUUAUUGAUUAACAAUAUAAAAUUUGUACAACACAUCUCUUGAUGGGUUUUCGGUACUUGAUCAUAGAAUUCUCUAGCUAGAGUGUGUCAACAUAUUUAGUAUGUUGAAAAUGAUCAUUAGAGAAAACCAGUAACUAUCAAGGAACAAGAUGUUAUUAAAUUGAUUGGACAGUUGAGAUAUCAAUUUAAUUAACGAUGUGGUACAAAGGAUUGUGCAGUAAAGAAAUCAAUGUGGCAUGGGUCGAAUUAUUAUUCGAGAA
rnacentral:lncRNA from 1 species